UAUGGCCAUACCAUGUGGCCUGAACAUGCCUGAUCUCGUCUGAUCUUGGAAGCUAUGCAGGGUCAGGCCUGGUUAGUACUUGGAUGGGAGACCAUUACAUCAUCAUUGUCAAUGCCAGUA
rnacentral:rRNA from 1 species